AAUUAAUCAAUCAAUCAAUCAAUCAAUCAACUCUAUUGGAUAUAUUUCUUUUCUUUGGCUUUUUUGGGGUAGGGUUUCUCUGGGCAGUCCUAGCUGUCCUGGAACUCUCUUUAUAGACCAGACUGGCUUUGAACUCACAGAGAUCUGCCUGCUUCUGCCUCCCGAAUACUGGGGUUAAAGGUGUGCACCAUCACUGGCCGGCUAGAUGUAUCUGUGUCAUGUUUUAGAUCUUGUGCUUUAAGCUGCUAUUUCAGGAAGUGUCUCAGGAUGUAACGCAUGUAGCAUGCACAGUCCACUCACCGAAGCACACAGUUCUGUGAUUUUUCUGUGGCGUGAACUGGUUGUAUGAUCAUCAUCGUGGUGUGGUAUUAAAAAUUUCCCACCAUUACAGUGAUCUGAGGACUCUCUCCAGCCUGGGCAGCCACGCCACGGCAGUGUCCAAGGUGACGUCUCUCUCCUAGUCGAAGUGAUAGCUUUAACAGUGCAGCGUUUACUGACUUUGCAAGGGUUUGUGCAUCAACUGCAGAUUCUUUCCUUAUAGAAAGGAAGAGACAUCAUUGUGCAAUUUGCUUCUGGCACCUGGAGGUCUCUCCAUGCCUACUGAGUGCCUACUAUGUGCUACCAGGCACAACUGGCUCUGACUUCUUUUUCUUUUCACAGUUGCUUUGUGGUCCAUUGUGUGACAGUCCCAUCACUUAUGUCCCCAGGGCAUUUGGGUCAUUUCCAAUUCUCUUUGAACAAUGCUUCAAUGCAUAUCCUUGUCCAUUGCAAGCAGCUCUGUAGGGAAUGUUGUAUUAUGUGUCUUGAAUAUGCACAAUCUACUUUCUAUCUAGAGAGGUGAAAAUGGCUUAUGCUUCCAGAAAUGUUCCUGCAAGCAGUGUGGGCUUUAAUCACCUCCCUGAGUUGUGCCCAGGGCAGCCCACUGUAGGCUACACAGGCUUGAAGGUGGGCUUCCUAGACCAUGGAGCCCAGAGAAUUCAAGGCCUCUACAAACACCUGAUAAAAUCCCAUUUCUAGGGGUACUCACCUUUCUUGCCUUGCCCCCCUGUAAAUCAGAUCCUAGCUAUUUACUGGGCAUGGCCUGUGUUUGCUUGCCCUCUGCCUAUAUGCUGUUCCCUCCCCUGGAAAUGUUCUCAGUCUCCCCUGCGACAAGACCCAGGCCAUCUGAAGUCCCCAUAACCUUCAGUCUCAGCUGUUCUCUGUGUUCUCUUAGCUGUGAACUGUUUCCCCUUAAGUGGGAAGAAACUGGGGAGGGAGACAGCAAAGUUAGAUAGAAGUCAUGCUAUGUAGGCUCCCAAGGGAGCUGGGACAGCGAUGCAUUGCCUCCUGCAGACCAGGCUAUCUGAGCAGGCCUGAUCUAACCCUCUGCAACCUCUAGGAGACAUAGUAGGUGGUACUUAGUAGUUUAACUUAGGUCCACAUUUCCCAGUGAUGAGGAGCGAGGGAAGGAGAGGGCCUGAAAUGGGGCGGGGAGGUGGGGGGAAAAGGUUGCAGAAGGAAAUGGAGGUGUUAUCCUUUAAAGGAGAUGGAUACAAGUAUUGCCCUGGGCAGGGGCAACCAGUCAACAGGCAAGAACUUUGUACAACAAACUAAGAUUUGCUCAAAAUAACAAUAACAAAAC
rnacentral:lncRNA from 1 species